CAUAAAAACAGAGACAUGGAGAGAGAGAGAGAGGGAGAGAGAGAGGGAGAAAGAGAGGGAGAGAGAGAGGGGGAGAGGGAGAGAGGGACACAGAAGCAGUGUUUUUAGAUGGCAGUCAUCUAUCUAGCAAAAAAAACCUAUGUGUGCAUUUUUGGGCUGUAGCGUGUUUGCGUGUGUAUUCGAUACAAUACUGGUGUGAAUUAAAGGAAACACGCCUUGGUUCAAAUGAAAAAUCUAUUUUUGUCUUUGUCAAAUAUUUGAGGUGUGCUUCGUUGAGUUUCUAGCUUUCACACCUGUAGGCUGGAUCUGGAGUUGCCUAACCCAUUCUUGUCCCCUUUAGCGCCCCCUGCAUGUGUGGCUCUCUCACCGGGAGUAAUGGUGAUUGCAGUGCCUGGCCAUCCGCUAGGGGCAGUAUUUUGUUUCUGAGAGAAAUGUUGUGGAUUGUCUAUGUUGUUAUUGAAAUUUCUAUGGUUUUUUUUUUUUUUUUUUGUCAUUUUGUUUUUUGUUUGUUCAGUGCCACAUUCCAUGGAAUAGAAUUCCAUUGAAAUGAAUUAAACUGCAAAUGUUUACUGAUGAACACAGGCUUAAACAAUGGAAAAGGUACAUUGGCAAUAGUGCCUUAGAAAUUGCUAUUUUGUGUUUAGUUGGAUUUAAAAUGACAAACAAUCUGCAGCUUAAACUGUGGAAAUAAACCCCCAUGCUUUAUAUACGCUACACAGUAAAAGACAGCUACCUACUGACAGCUACAACUUAAACCAUUAGAAUGACCACAUAUGGUUAGUAACAGGCCAUCACGGACAGAUGAUGGCUUCUGGAGGAGCACAUUUGAAGGCCCGAUAUUAUGCACAAUUAUACCCUUACAAAUGACAGACAGGCCUCAGUCCUUGGUCUGACCUAUGUCCCCAACCUUUAACCUGUUUACCCAAAAAAAGUGAAUAGCCAGCAACGCGUUUUCUCAAGCAUCAGUGGUGAGCUUUAACCUGGUGACCUGACAAAAUUGACUGGCCAGCUGCAUGACCACUUUCCUGUAACAUCACCGUAGUUCUACCUACUGUUAGUCUGACAUAAGUUGGUGUCACAUGGAUGUGCUCCUGAUUUAGUAGAUGAUUUAGGCGGAGCGCCUAAGGACAACCAAUCUAGGGAAACGCUUAUAACAGCUACAUACCUACACACAGAACCGUAGCUAUAUUCACAGAACUGUAACUACAGUUUCUGACCUGCAUAUUACCUUUCUGAAUACUUGCAACAACUGUGUGGUCCAGGACAGGCCUGCAAUGCACUAAUUGCAACAGGGUUAUUCUAGAUUAUGGCUGACAGACAUGUGACCGUGUGUAGAUCUUGAGUGAAUUGUUUGUCAAUGGGGGAAUAAAAGAAACCUAUAAAAGCUUUCAUUACACUUCGGCCAUCUUGGAUUACCUUGGCUGAUUCUACAAAAAGGGACUUAGUUCAGGAAGCUGUCUACUGUAUGUUGUUUAUCCUCAUAGCUAUAUGUGAAUUCCAUGAAAGUAGAUGGACAUCUGCAAAGGCUCUGUUCAGGAAUCACAGAGUUUGCUGUUAACAGUUUAGUGGUCGUUGAUGGAUGUGUUUUUAUUGAUCCCCCCACCUAGGACUUCUUAUUUGAACUAUUUUUGCACAGUAUACUACACUUGCAUGUUCUGAUUUUUCUAUUGUCCAGUGGUAUCAAUGUUACUUAGUCUCUGUCUAACAUACACAUAUUGGACAGAUUAUUCCAUAUUGUUUGGUUCUCAAUGCCUACUUUGUACACACACACACACAUUUAGGUGAUUUGGUUUCCAGUACGGCAUUAAUAUUAUGCUACGCUGCAUCAUGCUAAGUAGCUCGUAGACUAUUAAUGCCAUUAAUUGGCAUAUUGACACAUAAGGACUCUACUAGCGUUGUUUGAUUUCUGAUGAGUGCAUGAGGAAGAGAGCUGCCAUUUUAAAAAAUUUGGGUCUACAGCACCACUUUGUUUUUGAUUAAAUGAGAUGGAUGAACACCUGCUCUGCCAAGAAUUAACGUAAUAUGUGCCAUUUAUUUUGUUCUGGGUGACUUUUGUUCUGGGUGAAUAACGGCCACAUUCAUAAAUGUUCAAUUUGAUUGGUCCUAGGAAUCAAACCCACAACCCUGGUGUUUCAGGCACCCUGCUCUAUCAAUGGAGCUACUGCGAUCUCUCUAGUUAAUUACUAAUUGUUGUAAAAUAUGUCAUCAGUUGAUUUUCUUGCAAUAUCACUGAAUGGUGUAAAUCUUAUUAUAAAUAAAGUCAAAUUCAAUUGUU
ensembl:lncRNA